rnacentral:tRNA from 1 species
GCAGUCGUGGCCGAGUGGUUAAGGCGAUGGUCUAGAAAUCCAUUGGGGUCUCCACGCACAGGUUCGAAUCCUGUCGACUGCG